UACAGAGGGUGCGAGCGUUAAUCGGAAUUACUGGGCGUAAAGCGCGCGUAGGCGGCUUUGCAAGUCGAGUGUGAAAUCCCCAGGCUUAACCUGGGAACUGCAUUCGAGACUGCAUAGCUAGAGUAUGGGAGAGGGAAGUGGAAUUUCAGGUGUAGCGGUGAAAUGCGUAGAUAUCUGAAGGAACAUCAGUGGCGAAAGCGACUUCCUGGACCAAUACUGACGCUCAUGUGCGAAAAGCGUGGGGAGCAAACAGGG
rnacentral:rRNA from 1 species